UACGUAGGUGGCAAGCGUUGUCCGGAUUUAUUGGGUUUAAAGGGUGCGUAGGUGGUCUAUUAAGUCAGUGCUGAAAUAUCCCGGCUUAACCGGGAGGGUGGCAUUGAUACUGAUGGACUUGAGUGGAGUUGAGGUAGGCGGAAUUGACGGUGUAGCGGUGAAAUGCGCAGAUAUCAGGAGGAACACCGGUGGCGAAGGCGGGUCUCUGGGCCGAUACUGACGCUGAGGAGCGAAAGCGUGGGGAGCGAACAGG
rnacentral:rRNA from 1 species